UAAGACAGAGGCCCCAAGCGUUAGGCGGAAUCACUGGGCUUAAAGCGUGUGUAGGCGGAUCGUUAAGUGUCUUGUGAAAUCCCACGGCUCACCCGUGGAACUGCUGGGCAUACUGGCGAUCUUGGGCCAACUAGGGGCAGCCGGAACAAGCGGUGGAGCGGUGAAAUGCGUAGAUAUCGCUUGGAACGCCGAAGGUGAAAACAGGCUGCUGGGGUUGCGCCGACGCUGAGACACGAAAGCCAGGGGAGCAAACGGGAUUAGAUACCCCGGUAGUCCUGGCCCUAAACGAUGAAUGCUUGGUGUGGCGGGUAUCGAUCCCUGCCGUGCCGAAGCUAACGCAUUAAGCAUUCCGCCUGGGGAGUACGGUCGCAAGGCUG
rnacentral:rRNA from 1 species